GCGACCGGCGCGAGUGGUGAGCGGCAAGUGCGAGCAUCGAGUGGGGCGAGCGUUAACUGGCGAGCGGCAAGAGUUGAGCGAGGCUAGCGGCGAGCGGCGAGCGUUAAGCAAGGCUAGCGGUGAGUGGCGAGUGGCGACUAAUACCUAGCCAAACCGGUCACGUACACGAAGCAAACAUGGAAAAAACAAAUCAACACAAAUCAAGAGCAUACAUGUUGAAGAUCUCAAAUGAAGCACAAAGUAGAACUCACUAGCCAAGUUGUGUUCGGAAAGCAAGGGAGAGCUGAGCGUUAGGGUUUCUAAUUAGGGCUUCUUCUUUUUCCUUCUGAUUUCCUCGGCGAUAAGCGAGGCGACCGACGCGAGUGGCGAGCGCGAGCGGCAAGUGCGAGCAUCGAGUGGGGCGAGCGUCAACUGGCGAGCGGCAAGAGUUGAGCGAGGCUAGCGGCGAGCGGCGAGCGUUAAGCAAGGCUAGCGGUGAGUGGCGAGUGGCGAGGGUUGAGUGAGGCCAGCAACGACAGCAAAGGGCUUGUAGCAAGCGGCGAGCGGCGCGAGCGGCACGGGCAACCAGAGGCGAGCGGCGCGGGCAACCAGAGGCGAGCAAGGAUGCUGUUACUUUUGAUUUUGGCAAAUUUGAAGAACAAAGAAGACAAAAUGGAAGAGAACAUACCUUGGGGAAGGAAGCCGCGAAGAGAUUUACGGC
rnacentral:lncRNA from 1 species